rnacentral:rRNA from 1 species
GAUCCUGGCUCAGGAUGAACGCUAGCGGCAGGCUUAACACAUGCAAGUCGAGGGGCAGCGGGGNGUAGCAAUACACUGCCGGCGACCGGCGCACGGGUGCGUAACGCGUAUGCAACCUACCCAUAACAGGGGCAUAACACUGAGAAAUUGGUACUAAUUCCCCAUAACAUUCGAAGAGGCAUCUCUUUGGGUUGAAAACUCCGGUGGUUAAUGGAUGGGCAUGCGUUGUAUUAGCUAGUUGGUG